ACUAAAUUGGCAGAAAAAUGCAUUAGAAUUAGAAUCUAAAUAAGAUAAUAUUAUAUUUUCAAUUAACU
rnacentral:tRNA from 1 species